AGUUGGAAAAAAGUUAUUUGCAAGCUUUUGGGUACAAACACCCUGCAUCAGGCAUAGGGGGACUCUGCUGAUGUUGUGUUCUCCAAGGUAGAAAAGAAACUAAUUUACAACAGGCACAAACCUGUGUAUAGAACCUGCGUUCAGCACCCACUUUAAAAAGGAUCCAGAGGUGCUUUUGAAUAGAAGCUGUGUUUUCAUGCAUGCUAGCCAUCAAGAGUGUAUGGUCUUGUUUGUAGACGCAUUUGAAAACACAUGCAUUACUUGGAUUUCUAUCCUCUGAUUGUUGAAAGCAGUGCACCCACUAUACAGACGGAGUAAUAAGGAACAGAGAUGCUAGAUGAAUAUUCUCUGAAAAUCAAGUCACUCGCUUGGAUUUAUUGGCCUAACUUAUUUGCCAGAGUUUGAAAAUAUGUGCCUAAAUGAAUUGCUCAACAUCACAUGAGCCAAAGAUAGUUCUGAACUAGAACUUGCAAGUCCUGAUUGCUAGUCAUUAGCCAUGAGCACACACUCUUAAGCAAGACUUUUAAACAACACUUACCAGUUUCUUAUUAGUUUUGAUCUGGCCAGCACGGGUAGGAACAGCAGUGGUGUAGAAGUACAGACUUAAGCACAGACUGGCAACCUGAGUAUGUACCUAGGGUCUCCAGAGGACUUGUGCAGCCUGUGCAGUACUAACUUGGGGUCUAAUCAGAUUCUUUUUUGACUCUGGAACAUUUGAUUGUGUUAGGGAUCUUUUGCCCCCCAUGCAUCCAGGUCAGACAUUGCACAUGUCUCCAUAAGCAAAGGCUGCUUUGGUUGGUUUUGUGCUGUUUGUUGGUGUCCGUGUCACUGGGUAAGAGCUGAAGACGGCACUUAUUAGCCUGCUCUGGCUACUCCAAUUAACCAGCAGCUGAGCCACUGCUCCACAGCUCCCAAGACAAACCCAACCCCACCUUCACACAGAAGGGAGGUAACGGCACCGUGUAAAACCCUAGUCUGUUACCAAGGCAGCGGCUAUGGUAUCUCAGAGGCAGACAUGAAUUAUGGCCGAAACAUAUGCCCCAAGGCUUUCUCCAUAAAGCCCAGCCUGCAGUGAAUGGGAUCUGGGAGUGGGGCGUCGGCGGCAGCCGUAAAUCGCCCUUGGAGCUGGCACACAGAGAUGAGGCACGACUCUGUCCUCCCCGCCAAGGGGGGGAGGAGGGGGCAGUCGUGGAGAUGGUGUGUGCUUGAUGGGGGUGAUGGUGCUGCAUAUCUUCAGGCUGCCAGGAUGCACUCAUGUGGAGUCAGCAGGCAGUGCUGCAUACUGAGCAGAGGGGAGAGUUGACCUUGGACCUGUGCCUGCCUGCUGAAUGUUAUUCCCUGCCUCCCCUCCACUGUUCUCCAGCCUCCUUUUUUUUUCCUUCCCUUGCUCUGUAUUUUUCUUCUGCUCUUUCCUUUUCCUUGCAAGCUUUUAGUAGAAAAACACUAAUGCUUUGCCCAAUUCCAGCAGAACACUACAGAAAUCCUUCUCUCCGCCAAGCUACACCAGGAACUCAAUGGGAUUAAAUGGUGCUAUUGGAUAUUAGAUUACAGGCUUUUUGGAGCAAAGAGAUCUGUUCCAGUGUGCGUCUGUACAAUAUAUAUCACAAUGAGGCCCUGAUCUUGGAGUGGAGGGGGAAAUCUGGAAGGUCGUGUGGUAGCAUUACUUGGUGGCUCUCAGUAUAAGUAGCCCUCCUUGUACUUACUCUUCAAUUGUUCUGCAUUGCUGGAUGGAGAGACUUCUCAAUGAUAAGAGCCAAGAGCCAUCAAUUCUGUGUGGAACAUAAGCAACAUUGGGAUGGUAAUGUGUGGAUGGGCUUUGAAAUAAGCAACACUUGAGAGGUAAGAUUUAGGGAGCAGCUGGAUAGCAGGUAUCCUGUAGAGUACCCAGGAGCUCUCACAUUGGAUACAGACUGAAGGUGCUGAGGUGUCUUGGAUGCUGCCUGCCUGAGAGUCUCUGUUCUGAAGAGCUAAGAGUAGGCAAGACUACGAUUGGAGGCAAAGAAUGAAUCAUUAUCCCAUUUUACAGAGUCAGAACCAAGGUCCAGAGAGAAAGUAACUGAUUUUGGUCACGUAGGAAUUCUGGGAUAGACACAGCUAUCCUGGGUCCCCCAAUAGUGCACAAAGUAGAGUGCUGUCCAGCCUAAAAUACAGGAUUUUGCCUCCCCUAGAAGGUAAGCUAGAAGGCCCCAGCAGGUGGGCAGCACUGACAUUAGAACAAGACACAAAAGGAUCAACAAUGUGGGAGGCCUUGGUCCUACAGUGACUUCACUGCUUCUUCAUAUGAGCUUCAGGCUCUGUGUGCACCCAUCUAUUUCCCUGCACCAUCUGUAGAAACAGACUGUUCUGCUCUCUGAAAGCAAAGUCCUCUAGAACAGUGUUUCUCAGCCUGUGGGUCAUGACCCAAAAGUGGGUCACAAGAAUAUAUGAAAGGGUCGCAAACAAACCUUAAAAAUGGAUUCUCCUUUAAAGGUGAAAAAUGUGGGAAACUGGCUUUUCCUUUGCAGACUGUCAGAGUUCCAGCCUGCAAGGGGCUGCUUGGGCCUCCCUGCCCCAGCCCACACACCUACCCCCUGCCACACACAGUGGUGGGCUAGGGGUGAGGGACAGUGGAUUGGGACUGGCCAUUGAUGUUUAUGAAUGGGUCCUAAUACAAAAAAGGUUGAGAACCACUGGUCUAGAAAUCUAGGCUAAUUCAGUGUUAAAUCAGACCUAUGCAGUUCCCCUUGCACAGCAGAAGUACCAUACCUGGACUUCCAAUGCUUAGUACCUGGGUUAUUAGGCAGCACUCAGGCACUGCAUGACUGCAUCCUGCAUAUUUUUGCCAAUUUUCCCAUCACAUGGUCACCCCACCUGCCCUAUAAUAAACUAAACACAAGCCCAUCCAAAACAUCCAAACCCUUACAUGAGAUGUUUGUCUUGGGAGUGACCCCAAGCUGUCUAAGAGGUUUGCCCCAGUCUGCCCUUACAAUGCUGCAAUUCUGGAGGUUACUAUACUCAUACAGACAUAGAUCUCACUUCCUCCCUGCAGGGCCUGGAUUCAACAAACAACUUGCUUAUGCUUCUCUUCAAACAAGCUGGGCUUUUGUGCAUACUAAGGGACCUAAUUCCUAUUGACUUUGAAUGGGGUUUAGGCACCUAGCCCCUCUCCCUUAAGCUGCUUUGUAAACCUGUCACUUAUGUGCCUAAGUCCUACAAUGGGAAGUGAAAUGGGCUGUAAAGUCAAGCAGGUGCGUAAAUGCUUUGAUGAUUCGGGCUCUCAAUGAGCCAGCUUUACCUUCAGCCAGAUUGCAGGAGGGUAGGACCCCAGGUGAGAAGAUGAACUCUUGCCAAAUUGAUACAUUCAGUCUCUUACACGUUACCUCAAGUACCUGGGCAUGGGGACCACUUUAUAGGCAGAAAUACUGUGUUGUAGGUGUGACGGAUGUGGGAGAUGCCUGUAAUAUUUUAUGAAUAUUUUAUGUUCCAUCUGUCUCAUUGUUAUUGUGUCAUUCACAAUAGGGUUAUGCAGGGUUAAUUCCAGCAGGAGUUUCUUGUGCGUCUAGGGAGCAAGAUUUUUAGAUUGCACUAUUUACCAAUACUUAAAAAGGACAAUGCAGGAGUCAUUUCCUUUGAAGUUUACCUCUGACCACUCCGAGGCCAACUGUCUGGCUGGUAACCAGCUUGUAACCUCAGGGGGCCUGGCAACGGGAAAUUGGAACAAAGAAUAUUGGAGUGGCUAAGAACGCAGCCCCAAAGCCCAGGGGAGAGACAACAGGGACUGAGCGGAAACGGACUAAACCCCAGCCUCCGAGUGUGGCGGUAUAUGUGGUGAGGCAGUCCUGCCUAAAUUGUUAGGUAAGAUCAGUAAGGCAUAGGCCUUUCAUUGUGAAGAGAGCUCUGCUUUAUUGUUAUGCUUUGUUCAAAUUAGACAAUACUUUUUGUUUUGCUUUGAGUCAUCUCCUAGUCACAGCUCCUGAAUGAAAAGGCUUGAAGGCUGCUAAACCCAGUGGAGCCUGCUGAGCAAUCAUGGUUGAUACCUAGGAGGGUGAGGCCAAAACCCCGUGGGACCAAGAUGGGAUUCUACCCUGGGGUUAUAGGCAAACAGCCUAAUGUUUGAGGGGUGUACAAUCGAAGAUGCAGGCAGCCCUGGCUCUGUGACAGUGGGACACAAAACUGAAUCUACACAAUAAAUGUAAAUCAAUCUGGGGCCUAACUGAGCCUUGUGUGAAGUCAUACAAAAAAUAAGGUUUAAUAAAUGAAAAACUACCAAA